rnacentral:rRNA from 1 species
AUACGUAGGUAGCAAGCGUUGUCCGGAAUUAUUGGGCGUAAAGAGCUCGUAGGCGGUUCGGCAAGUCGGGUGUGAAAAUCCAGGGCUCAACCCUGGGACGCCACCCGAUACUGCUGUGACUAGAGUCCGGUAGAGGAGCGUGGAAUUCCUGGUGUAGCGGUGAAAUGCGCAGAUAUCAGGAGGAACACCAGCGGCGAAGGCGGCGCUCUGGGCCGGUACUGACGCUGAGGAGCGAAAGCAUGGGGAGCAAACAGGAUUAGAAACCCCGGUAGUCC